rnacentral:rRNA from 1 species
AUUGAACGCUGGCGGCAUGCCUUACACAUGCAAGUCGAACGGUAACAGGUCUUCGGAUGCUGACGAGUGGCGAACGGGUGAGUAAUACAUCGGAACGUGCCCGAUCGUGGGGGAUAACGGAGCGAAAGCUUUGCUAAUACCGCAUACGAUCUACGGAUGAAAGCAGGGGACCGCAAGGCCUUGCGCGGACGGAGCGGCCGAUGGCAGAUUAGGUAGUUGGUGGGAUAAAAGCUUACCAAGCCGACGAUCUGUAGCUGGUCUGAGAGGACGACCAGCCACACUGGGACUGAGACACGGCCCAGACUCCUACGGGAGGCAGCAGUGGGGAAUUUUGGACAAUGGGCUAAAGCCUGAUCCAGCCAUGCCGCGUGCAGGAUGAAGGCCUUCGGGUUGUAAACUGCUUUUGUACGGAACGAAAAGACUCUUUCUAAUAAAGAGGGUCCAUGACGGUACCGUAAGAAUAAGCACCGGCUAACUACGUG